rnacentral:rRNA from 1 species
AGUGAACGCUGGCGGUAGGCCUAACACAUGCAAGUCGAACGGCAGCACAGUAAGAGCUUGCUCUUACGGGUGGCGAGUGGCGGACGGGUGAGGAAUACAUCGGAAUCUACUUUUUCGUGGGGGAUAACGUAGGGAAACUUACGCUAAUACCGCAUACGACCUACGGGUGAAAGCAGGGGAUCUUCGGACCUUGCGCGAUUGAAUGAGCCGAUGUCGGAUUAGCUAGUUGGCGGGGUAAAGGCCCACCAAGGCGACGAUCCGUAGCUGGUCUGAGAGGAUGAUCAGCCCCACUGGAACUUGGACACGGUCCAGACUCCUACGGGAGGCAGCAGUGGGGAAUAUUGGACCAUGGGCGGAAGCCUGAUCCAGCCAUACCGCGUGGGUGAAGAAGGCCUUCGGGUUUUAAAGCCCUUUUGUUGGGAAAGAAAAGCAGCAGGUUAAUACCCCGCUGUUCUGACGGUACCCAAAGAAUAAGCACCGGCUUACUUCGUG